GAUGAACGCUGGCGGUGUGCCUAAUACAUGCAAGUCGAGCGAACAGACGAGGAGCUUACUCCUCUGACGUUAGCGGCGGACGGGUGAGUAACACGUGGAUAACCUACCUAUAAGACUGGGAUAACUUCGGGAAACCGGAGCUAAUACCGGAUAACAUGUUGAACCGCAUGGUUCAACAGUGAAAGACGGUCUUGCUGUCACUUAUAGAUGGAUCCGCGUCGCAUUAGCUAGUUGGUAAGGUAACGGCUUACCAAGGCAACGAUGCGUAGCCGACCUGAGAGGGUGAUCGGCAACACUGGAACUGAGACACGGUCCAGACUCCUACGGGAGGCAGCAGUAGGGAAUCUUCCGCAAUGGGCGAAAGCCUGACGGAGCAACGCCGCGUGAGUGAAGAAGGUCUUCGGAUCGUAAAACUCUGUUAUUAGGGGAGAACAAAUGUGUAAGUAACUAUGCACGUCUUGACGGUACCUAAUCAGAAAGCCACGGCUAACUACGUG
rnacentral:rRNA from 1 species